ACGCGAGCUGGGUUCAGAACGUCGUGAGACAGUUCGGUCCCUAUCCGUCGCGGGCGUUGGAAAUUUGAGAGGAGCUGUCCUUAGUACGAGAGGACCGGGAUGGACUUACCGCUGGUGUACCAGUUGUUCUGCCAAGGGCAUUGCUGGGUAGCUAUGUAGGGAAGGGAUAAACGCUGAAAGCAUCUAAGUGUGAAGCCCACCUCAAGAUGAGAUUUCCCAUUUCUUUAAGAAAGUAAGACCCCUGAGAGAUGAUCAGGUAGAUAGGUUGGAAGUGGAAGGCUAGUGAUAGUUGGAGCGGACCAAUACUAAUCGGUCGAGGACUUAACCAA
rnacentral:rRNA from 2 species